rnacentral:rRNA from 1 species
UGGAAACUGUNUGACUUGAGUGCAGAAGGGGAGAGUGGAAUUCCAUGUGUAGCGGUGAAAUGCGUAGAUAUAUGGAGGANCACCAGUGGCGAAAGCGGCUCUCUGNUCUGUCACUGACGCUGAGGCUNGAAAGCGUGGGUAGCGAACAGGAUUAGAUACCCUGGUAGUNCACGCCGUAAACGAUGAGUGCUAGGUGUUAGGCCCUUUCCGGGGCUUAGUGCCGGAGCUAACGCAGUAAGCACUCCGCCUGGGGAGUACGACCGCAAGGUUGAAACUCAAAGGAAUUGACGGGGGCCCGCACAAGCGGUGGAGCAUGUGGUUUAAUUCGAAGCAACGCGAAGAACCUUACCAGGUCUUGACAUCCCGAUGCUAUUCUUAGAGAUAGGAAGUUACUUCGGUACAUCGGAGACAGGUGGUGCAUGGUUGUCGUCAGCUCGUGUCGUGAGAUGUUGGGUUAAGUCCCGCAACGAGCGCAACCCUUAUUGUUAGUUGCCAUCAUUAAGUUGGGCACUCUAGCGAGACUGCCGGUAAUAAACCGGAGGAAGGUGGGGAUGACGUCAAAUCAUCAUGCCCCUUAUGACCUGGGCUACACACGUGCUACAAUGGUCGGUACAACGAGUUGCGAGCCGGUGACGGCAAGCUAAUCUCUGAAAGCCGAUCUCAGUUCGGAUUGGAGGCUGCAACUCGCCUCCAUGAAGUCGGAAUCGCUAGUAAUCGCGGAUCAGCACGCCGCGGUGAAUACGUUCCCGGGCCUUGUACACACCGCCCGUCACACCACGAGAGUUUGUAACACCCGAAGUCGGUGAGGUAACCUUUUAGGGGCCAGC